GUCCACGCCGUAAACGAUGGGCGCUAGGUGUGGGCGGUGUCGACUCCGUCCGUGCCGAAGCUAACGCAUUAAGCGCCCCGCCUGGGGAGUACGGCCGCAAGGCUAAAACUCAAAGGAAUUGACGGGGCCCGCACAAGCAGCGGAGCAUGUGGUUUAAUUCGACGCAACGCGAAGAACCUUACCAGGGCUUGACAUGCACGGGAAUUGCGUAGAAAUACGUAAGCCCUUCGGGGCUCGUGCACAGGUGGUGCAUGGCUGUCGU
rnacentral:rRNA from 1 species